GACUCUCGGCAACGGAUAUCUCGGCUCUCGCAUCGAUGAAGAACGUAGCAAAAUGCGAUACUUGGUGUGAAUUGCAGAAUCCCGUGAACCAUCGAGUCUUUGAACGCAAGUUGCGCCCCAAGCCUUCUGGCCGAGGGCACGUCUGCCUGGGUGUCA
rnacentral:rRNA from 1 species